GAUGAAGAACGCAGCGAAAUGCGAUAAGUAGUGUGAAUUGCAGAAUUCAGUGAAUCAUCGAAUCUUUGAACGCACAUUGCGCCCCUUGGUAUUCCAUGGGGCAUGCCUGUUCGAGCGUCAUUUGUACCUUCAAGCUCUGCUUGGUGUUGGGUGUUUGUCUCGCCUCUGCGUGUAGACUCGCCUUAAAACAAUUGGCAGCCGGCGUAUUGAUUUCGGAGCGCAGUACAUCUCGCGCUUUGCACUCAUAACGACGACGUCCAAAAGUACAUUGUUACACUCUUGACCUCGGAUCAGGUAGGGAUACCCGCUGAACUUAAGCAUAUCAAUAAGCGGAGGA
rnacentral:misc_RNA from 1 species